rnacentral:lncRNA from 1 species
GUUGGGAGAGGGAGCAGAUAAUAGAUGCAUCUUCUCCAGUUGGAACACAAAGUAUGAACACUGCUCCUUCGUGUUUGGGCCCACCUGACAAAUGCGUAGAUGACAAAAACCUAGUUCGCUUAGUAAUAGAUUAGUCCCAAGUGUAAUUCCACGAUUGUUGACAUAGUGGAUCGAGGUUCUACAGCUAGGGCGCACUUGGUUCUCACUCCAUCAAGAUUGGGCCACCCCUAAGCGCAGAUCUAGUCAUAGCCAUGUGCAUAUUACUAAACUGCAAAUCCCUAAGGCUAACUCUAGCCAGUAACCCUAAUCCUUGCAUCACUAAAGAUGAGAAGGAAGUUCUACCUUUUUCCUAACAAGUGUGUAAACCAUCUUUUAGUAAGUGUGUGUGAGUAUCUUUUUCCUAACUUCCCACCCAAUAUCUCUCUCAAGUCACACCACCAGCCAAGCUGCUCUAAUAAUGAUGACAGUAAGUAAAACCCGCAUGCCCGCAAGUAGAAACCCUAAUGGUUGUGAGUUUGGGUGUCAUUUUUACCAUGAGUAUGGGUUUAGAUUUGAACCCAACAUGUAGUCACGAGCAUAAAAGAAAUGUAUGAACAUGUUCACUUCACCCAUGUACCGAAUCCAACCCAUAACAUUUGGAACGCACAUGCAAAUUCUAGGAUUUCACUUUCCUUCCCUCGUAGCCACACAUAGGUCUUAGGCACAGAGCUAUCACCUCAACUCCCCUCCCCCAAAUGCCUUGAGUAUCGAACCUCAUCCCAUCCAGGCCAUCUGAGCAACCUCAUCAUAGUUCUCCAUAGCCAUGCGUAUAUCGCUAACCUACAAUCCCUAUGGCUAACUAUAACCCAACCCUUGAAAAUAGCAAAAAAAAAGAGAGAGAUAGUUCGAUAAAUAAUUUUCCUAGAAAGUGUGUGAACCAUGUGUGUAACAUUUUCUUAUUAGUGUUGCUUUUCCUAACUCUGCACCCAUUAUC